rnacentral:rRNA from 1 species
CCUACGGGUGGCAGCAGUAGGGAAUCUUCCACAAUGGACGAAAGUCUGAUGGAGCAACGCCGCGUGAGUGAAGAAGGGUUUCGGCUCGUAAAGCUCUGUUGGUAGUGAAGAAAGAUAGAGGUAGUAACUGGCCUUUAUUUGUCGGUAAUUACUUAGAAAGUCCCGGCUCACUACGUGCCAGCAGCCGCGGUAAUACGUAGGUGGCAAGCGUUGGCCGGAUUUAUUGGGCGUAAAGCGAGUGCAGGCGGUUCAAUAAGUCUGAUGGGAAAGCCUUCGGCUCAACCGGAGAAUUGCAUCAGAAACUGUUGAACUGGAGUGCAGAAGAGGAGAGUGGAACUCCAGGUGUAGCGGUGGAAUGCGUAGAUAUAUGGAAGAACAACAGUGGCGAAGGCGGCUCUCUGGGCUGCAACUGACGCUGAGGCUCGAAAGCAUGGGGAGCGAACAGGAUUAUAUACCCGUGUAGUC